rnacentral:rRNA from 1 species
AACGAACGCUGGCGGCAGGCUUAACACAUGCAAGUCGAACGCAUCCUUCGGGGUGAGUGGCAGACGGGUGAGUAACGCGUGGGAACGUGCCCUUCAGUUCGGGAUAACCCAGGGAAACUUGGGCUAAUACCGGAUACGUGCGAGAGCAGAAAGAUUUAUCGCUGAAGGAUCGGCCCGCGUCUGAUUAGCUAGUUGGUGGGGUAAUGGCCCACCAAGGCGACGAUCAGUAGCUGGUCUGAGAGGAAGAUCAGCCACAUUGGGACUGAGACACGGCCCAAACUCCUACGGGAGGCAGCAGUGGGGAAUAUUGGACAAUGGGCGCAAGCCUGGUCCAGCCAUGCCGCGUGGGUGAUGAAGGCCUUAGGGUUGUAAAGCUCUUUCGUCCGGGACGAUAAUGACGGUACCAGAAGAAGAAGCCCCGGCUAACUUCGUGCCAGCCGCCGCCGUAA